AAGCUAGCCCAGGUGACUUGAUUGUUGCACUAUGUGACAUAUUUAAGGACAUACUUGCUGCAUUUGCAGCAGCCCCCCUGUCUGACCUCCCUGGGCAAUCCUGCUGUCACUCAAUGUGAGUUAACUGUGACAAACUCAGCUCUGUGUUAUAUUUUGUUUGCUUCAUAGUUUCCAGAACUAUAUAUAAAUAUAUUUUUUCAAUAGCAAAUAUUGUAGUUAGUGAGUGGUGACCACUUCAACCUUAUCCCUACCAUAUUGGUUUCAGGGAUGGGACUAAGAAUGUCCUUGGAAUAAAAAAAUUAAAAUAUAACCCUGUGAUUUAGAAUGAUGCCGAGGUUGCAGGUUGCAGCCUGCAGCAGCUGUGUGAGCGAAGUGACCGUCUCCUCUGGAUCAAGCGUCCACUCCUCAUUGUGCCCAGGCCCCAGUGCUCCUUCAUCACUGUUUAGUUAUUGUCCGCUGUGGUUUUGAUUAUAUUUUGCUCUUCCUGACAUUGACUGUUUUUUUUUAAUAAAAGAAAAUAAAAAGUAAAUGAAUAACCCCUGAAUGUGACUGGAUGCAGGGAUAAGCCCCUCCCUCCUCCUUGGGCUCUUUCCCUAAGUGGCAGGAUCGCGCUGGCUCUGUAUCUCCCGUGCGUGCGGCAGUCCAAGGUGCAGACCUAGGGAGCACUUGUCAUCACACCUCCUAUACUGAACACAUAACCCUAGGCUCAAUCACUUUAUGGAAAGGGAAAUAAAGUAGACUUUAUUUUAGGGAUGGAGCCGGGGAGUGGUGUGUGGAUGGGAGGCUGGUAUCAACAUCACUAAGUAUUCCGAAGGUCUUCUUGCUUUGUUUUUCCAUUUUAAUUGAUACACUGACCUGGCCCAGGAAAGGAAGAGCCGCUCUCCUUUGAUGUUAUUAGCCAACAUUCCCACAAAGUGACGGUCACCUGUCUCAGAAAGGCAACAGGAGAUAUGAUCCGUGACAUUUUAUUUGCACAUGAAUAUUUUAUUUUUGUAUUCUGGCUCAGCUGCUUCUCUUCGUGGAGUUAGGGAGGAGCCAUAAAGGACUUUUGUAAUAAGUAAUAUUGGCAACGCAUUUUAUACUCCUCUAUGUUUACUUUUGAGAACCUGAAAGAAGGGGUGUGCGUCCGAGAGGAGGGUGAGCGGAGCUUGAGCCAGCGGAAUGUUCCAUUUGUCUGCCGCUUGUGCACGAGAGCGGCCAGCUGUAGCGUCUCCUGGAAACCAACGCCCCGUGCUAUGACGUCUGUGAGCCUAGGUUUCCUUUCCUCCCCUCCCUUCCCCCAUCCUCUCCUCCAUUUUCUUUCUUUCUCAACCCAUCCCUUUUUUUUUUUAAAUCACUUACUGUAAAUAAGUUGUAAUCUAAACCUCAUGUAUCAAUGGGGAAAUUUCAAAUAUAAAUAUUACCAACACGUUUUCUUGUUGUCUGGCUUUUGAUUGGAGUGUAAUGAGAAUGGCAUGCCCAUCUCCUCAGGCCUGAGGGUUUCAUCUCAGCUCCAGCCUCUCCUCUCCCUCAUUUCAUUGUUGUGGCAGGAGAGGGCAGCACACGUUCAUUUUUCCCCCCGCUAGGAAGCCACAGUGUUAGCUGUGGAUGAGUGUUUUUCUUAAGUUUUCAAAACAUCCGUUGGUGCAUAGAUGUGAAAAUGAAACAAUAUGAAAAGUUGCAUAUGAAAAAUGACAGACUGGUUUAGCCAGGCAGGGAAGCCUUCUGAUCCACUUCAAAGUAAAAAAUUACCCAAGACACUUCCAGCCCCUGUUGAACCAGACUUCUUCCGUUUCAAACAGCAGGAUGCAGGUGGCAGCUUACACACUUGGAAAUAAGCGUUCAUCUUUGAAAAUAAUAUACUCUCUCAAAAGUGGUUACAGACUAAGCAGAGGUGCUCCCCAAAGCAAUGUAAUCCUCCCGUUGACAGCUAUGUGAGAUUCUGUACUGUGGGUGUCCCUAAUAAAUAAGCACUGAAGGG
rnacentral:lncRNA from 1 species